rnacentral:rRNA from 1 species
AGUAACGGCGAGUGAAGCGGCAACAGCUCAAAUUUGAAAUCUGGCCCUCUCAGGGUCCGAGUUGUAAUUUGGAGAGGAUGCUUCGGGUGUGGCCCCGGUCUAAGUUCCUUGGAACAGGACGUCACAGAGGGUGAGAAUCCCGUACGUGCCCGGUGGCCGCCCCCGUGUGAAGCUCCUUCGACGAGUC